rnacentral:rRNA from 1 species
GAUAAACGCUGGCGGCGCACAUAAGACAUGCAAGUCGAACGGAAGUCCUUAUAAAAAGGAUUGAAGAUUUAUCUGAUUGAGAUUUUAUAACAAUGGCUUUAGUGGCGGACUGGUGAGUAACGCGUGAGCAACCUGCCUACUAGAGGGGAAUAACAGUGAGAAAUCAUUGCUAAUACCGCAUAUGCCAUGAACAUCACAUGAUGAAAAUGGGAAAAGAGUAAUCUGCUAGUAGAUGGGCUCGCGUCUGAUUAGAUAGUUGGUGGGGUAACGGCCUACCAAGUCAACGAUCAGUAGCCGGACUGAGAGGUUGAACGGCCACAUUGGGACUGAGAUACGGCCCAGACUCCUACGGAGGCAGCAGUCGGGAAUAUUGCGCGAAUGGAGGAAACUCUGACGCAGUGACGCCGCGUAUAGGAAGAAGGUUUUCGGAUUGUAAACUGCUUUAGACAGGAAGAAACAAGACAGUACCUGUAGAAUAAGCUCCGG